rnacentral:rRNA from 1 species
GACGAAGGGGGCUAGCGUUGUUCGGAAUUACUGGGCGUAAAGCGCGUGUAGGCGGUUGUCCAAGUUGGAUGUGAAAGCCUUGAGCUCAACUCAAGAAAUGCAUUCAGGACUGGGCGACUAGAGGACCGGAGAGGAUAGUGGAAUUCCCAGUGUAGUGGUGAAAUACGUAGAGAUUGGGAAGAACACCAGUGGCGAAGGCGGCUAUCUGGACGGUUCCUGACGCUGAGGCGCGAAAGCUAGGGGAGCAAACGGG